rnacentral:rRNA from 1 species
CAGUGAUAAACUGGAGGAAGGUGGGGAUGACGUCAAGUCAUCAUGGCCCUUACGACCAGGGCUACACACGUGCUACAAUGGCGCAUACAAAGAGAAGCGACCUCGCGAGAGCAAGCGGACCUCAUAAAGUGCGUCGUAGUCCGGAUUGGAGUCUGCAACUCGACUCCAUGAAGUCGGAAUCGCUAGUAAUCGUGGAUCAGAAUGCCACGGUGAAUACGUUCCCGGGCCUUGUACACACCGCCCGUCACACCAUGGGAGUGGGUUGCAAAAGAAGUAGGUAGCUUAACCUUCGGGAGGGCGCUUACCACUUUG